AAACAUUUCCCACAUCUGAAAAAUUAGAUGUCGAACUGGAGGAGGAAGAGCAUGACAGUAAGCAAACAACUUCCUUGCCAUGUUCCCUACUCUCUUCAGUCUCUCUCAUCUCUCUCACCACACAACCGAAACAAUAUACACAUGCCACAGCUGCGGUCAUUAUUGUAUAACAAAAGGCGCUAGGCUUACUUGGUCACGGUUACUGAUCGAUCUCAUUCGUCGAUGAACUCGAACUCGUCCUCGCGGAGGUGGACGAAGAACCUGACCGGCUUGUCCUGGCCCUCCACGCUGAGAUGGAACUCCA
rnacentral:misc_RNA from 1 species